UACGGAGGGUGCAAGCGUUAUCCGGAUUUACUGGGUUUAAAGGGUGCGUAGGUGGGUAGGAAAGUCAGUGGUGAAAUCUUCGGGCUUAACCCGGAAACUGCCAUGAUACUAUUUAUCUUGAAUACUUUGGAGGUAAGCGGAAUAUGUCAUGUAGCGGUGAAAUGCUUAGAUAUGACAUAGAACACCAAUUGCGAAGGCAGCUUACUACACGGUUAUUGACACUGAGGCACGAAAGCGUGGGGAUCAAACAGG
rnacentral:rRNA from 1 species